ensembl:lncRNA
AAGAACUAAGAAAAGGGAUCAUAUCACUCCUGUACUAACUUCUUUUCACUGGCUCCCUGUUAAAUUUUUGUGCUUUCUCGCCUUGCAGGUCCCGUGGAUCAUAAUUCUGUCUGGACCCUGUUCCUGACUCCUGCGUGGCCCCGCGGACACCUACCGCUUCUAACAACAAGUCUGGACACACUGAGGGGCCGAUUUCGGGGAAGCAGCCAUGGAGAAGGUUGGGAAGGAGAAGUUGGCCACAGCACAGUAGUUCUGACCUGGAGCCAAACCAGAGAACUCCACAUGGGACACCAGCUCCUGGGUCCAGACCGUGCGGCUCUGCAGGAUCACGCAGCACUCUGCAUUUACUGUGGUCCAGGGGUCAAUCAUCUCAGAGAUGGGACAACACCCCCCCAGAGAGCACCUCCUGUUGGCUGCACAGGGGAACUGCACCAUCACAAGUAGCUGGUCGUCGCUCAAAGAGGCCGUGACGGAGGGAGGACUGAAGGCUUGACGGAGGGGGAGAGAGGGUGUUCAUUUUCACAUUCAACAUCAAAAAGGUGACACUACUUUAACAAAAAAACGCGUUAAACCAAGUAAAACAGAGACACAGGUUUGUUAAGCUGUUGUAUUGCAGGACGCGCAGACUCUCACUGACUGAAGUCACUGUAGUCAAACUUGCGUGGCCUCAUCCAGGCGGUGGACACGGGGCCGAGGUGGACGCCCAGACGGACCAUGUUGUACAGCUCGAAGUUUGAGAAGACGUGCGAGAGGUCACAGGUGUGGGACGAGAGCCAAACGCACCACGGUACGUCCUGCCAGGGGUCCCUGCAACGAGAGGACGCGGGUCAACAUUUCAGCAGUGAUCACGCUGCAUUUUCACAUUAAAUGAGAAUGAAAUGGAA